UAGAAUAUGAUCAUCGCUAGCCUCUGGAGAGAUCACACUUCUAUGGACUUCCACGUCUUCUAAAGCCUCUGACAAGGAGGGCAUGAUUCCUUGACCUAACUCGUUGUCCACAUAAAUUGCGACGACGCUUCUCCACCCAAAUGAUUUGACAAUGGACGCAAUGGCUUCAGCCUGGAAUGAGUCGUCAAUAGUGGCUCGGACGAAGUAAGGGUUGUUGAUAGUUCUAAGUAGAGGGCUCGUUGCUGAGAACUCGUUGUCCACAUAAAUGGCGACGACGCUUCUCCACCCAAAUGAUUUGACAAUGGACGCAAUGGCUUCAGCCUGGAAUGAGUCGUCAAUAGUGGCUCGGACGAAGUAAGGGUUG
rnacentral:lncRNA from 1 species